rnacentral:rRNA from 1 species
UGUUCGGGUUGUCAUGCCAAUGGCACUGCCCGGUAGCUAAAUGCGGAAGAGAUAAGUGCUGAAAGCAUCUAAGCACGAAACUUGCCCCGAGAUGAGUUCUCCCUGAGACUUUAAGUCUCCUGAAGGAACGUUAAAGACGAUGACGUUGAUAGGCCGGGUGUGUAAGCGCAGCGAUGCGUUGAGCUAACCGGUACUAAUGAACCGUGAGGCUUAACCUU